UAUGGUGGUUAUGGCGUGAGUGUUCCACCUCUAUCCAUUCCGAACAGAGAAGUUAAGCCUCACCGCGCCGAUGGUACUGCGUAUUAGUGGGAGAGUAGGUCGCCGCCGUUU
rnacentral:rRNA from 1 species